rnacentral:rRNA from 1 species
CCUACGGGAGGCAGCAGUGGGGAAUAUUGGGCAAUGGGCGCAAGCCUGACCCAGCAACGCCGCGUGAGGGAAGAAGGCCCUCUGGUUGGAAACUUCUUUUAACAGGGACGAAGAACGUGACGGUACCUGUUGAAUAAGCCACGGCUAACUACGGGCCAGCAGCCGCUGGAAUACGUAGGUGGCAAGCGUUAUCCGGAUUUACUGGGUGUAAAGGGCGUGUAGGCGGGAGAGCAAGGCAGACGUGAAAUUCCAGGGCUCAACCCUGGAACUGCGUUUGAAACUGUUCGUCUUGAGUGAUGGAGAGGCAGGCGGAAUUCCGGGUGUAGCGGUGAAAUGCGUAGAUAUACGGAGGAACACCAGUGGCGAAGGCGGCCUGCUGGACAUUAACUGACGCUGAGGCGCGAAAGCGUGGGGAGCAAACAGGAUUAGAUACCCCAGUAGUC